UACGUAGGGUGCAAGCGUUAAUCGGAAUUACUGGGCGUAAAGCGUGCGCAGGCGGUUGUGCAAGACAGAUGUGAAAUCCCCGGGCUCAACCUGGGAACUGCAUUUGUGACUGCACAGCUUGAGUGCGGCAGAGGGGGAUGGAAUUCCGCGUGUAGCAGUGAAAUGCGUAGAUAUCGGAAGGAACAUCAGUGGCGAAGGCGACUUCCUGGACCAAUACUGACGCUCAGGUGCGAAAGCGUGGGGAGCAAACAGG
rnacentral:rRNA from 1 species